AUCAGUUCUGUGCCUGGCACAGAGUUGAUAUUUGGUAGAAGCAUGGCUGCUCAUCUGUAAAGCCCCUGUCUACCUUCACCGGUUCCCUCAGGCACAUUCCAAGACUUGAGGAGCUGGUGGGACCUACGUGCACCUGGCUUUCCACUCUCCUGUGUCAGAACUUCCUUCCUGUGACUCACAGGUGCAAGUCCUGGGCUAAUGAGUCCCAGAGGAGGCCAGAACUUCCAGAGUCAGAGGUUUGUGGAGCCCGACGAGCUCCUCUGCGGUGUC
ensembl:lncRNA